UAAUACUCUAAAAAAAAUUUUAACAUCAGUACCCUCCCUAUUCUAGCCUAGUAUUUGUUUUCUAUAAUCAAGCAUAAGUAUUAAUCUGUAUGCCAGUGAUUAAGACGCCUGUGGAACCGCAGGUUGAAAGUGUGAAGGAAAAUCAAAUUCAGAUUGAGAAGAAAAUGGUAGGAAUGCAGGUCGAGGAAACGAUAGUUCCAGCAGAUGUUGAAGAGAUUAAACUUCCAGAGAUUACGUCUAUAAAGCAAGUUCAGACAGAGUGGACUGGUGCAGUAUGCCAAGUGACAACCACCUCAGAGCAUAGUUUGAAGUCCCAUCUUAAUGGAAGGAAACAUAAGGUAAAGUGUGAAGAGUUGAAAACUUGCAAGCAAACGGCCAAGAUCGAAGGAGACCUGCCUGUUUCAACAAAAAAGUCAAAUGAGCUUAAGCAAGAGCAAGUAAACCAUGUAGCUGCACCACAAUCAGAGCACAGUACUAAUGAAGCAGCUGACCCCAAACAGGUUGUCACUUUUUUUAACCCUAGAACUUCCUUGGUCUUUCCUGGAAUAUUAAGUGUUGCUCAUAAUGCAAUUGUUGAGCAAACAAUAGAUGAAGAUACUCCAUCUUAUUGAAAAAUAAUUAUACUAUUUUCUUGUUAGUCCGUUCCAAAAAGAAUGGGGAAGCCCGAUGCACCAAGCAUCAUGUGUUUAUGUAGGGUCCGAGAAGGGCCGCAUCCAAAGAGGGUGUGAUGUAGGCAUACAAGCACCAGUGGUUGAUUCCACAGUUCCAAAAAGAAUUAUGCCCUCUAUAUUUGGAAAUAAUUUCGAUUUGAAUUUCCCAUUUUACCAUCAAAUUAACAUUCGCCAUACAAAUGUUAUUGCAUUGUUUAAGACCACAAUUUCAAAAGUUUUAUAAAUAUUACUUGUGACAUAUUUAAUAUCACAAACUUGAAAAGAAUGGCACUGGUUCCUUGUUAGUCUUUUCCAAAAAGAAUGAUAUCUUUUAAAGUUGGAAAUAAUUUAAUUUGAAUUUCCCAUUUUACCCUUAAUUAGCAUUGCCACGCAAAUGUUAUGGCAUUGCUUAAGACGUGCAAGUUUCAAAAGCCUUAUAAUUUUAUGACAUAUUUAAUACCACAAGUUUCAAAAGUAUUCCUUUCUUAAACUUCGUGCCUAGUCAAACAAUGCCACAUAAGUUGUAACGGAUAGAAUAUUAAGCAACCUAUUACGUGAUGAUUGAUGAAAAGAGGAGAGCUUGAUGUUCCCAUGGGAAAAGCAAAUUCGCUGCUAGUGAUACUAUUAGUGGCCAAGUUAGGAAAACUGCAAAAUGAGCUUAACUAUUACGAAGGAAAAAUAUUAGGCUGAUCAAUCAAGCUAAAUGUGCAAGAUGGCAAUUGAUAAUGCAUACUAAGAUCAAGUGCAUUAUCAUUUAAACUAAGAAGAAGCUUCGUUGCUAAAACAAUCAUCAAGCAACCUGAAAGUUAAACUGGCACUUUGUAAAUUUUUUAGUUCGCAAGAUUUCAUUUAUCCUAGUAUAUUCUCAAACCUUAGUUUCUCCUAUAAACAUUUGAAGCCACUAAAAAGGUGAGAGAACUGAAGGUCUAUGUUCUUUCUAAGCAUUAGCACAACCUUUAUUCUAGCCUAGCAUUUAUUUUUCUAUGAUAAAGCUAAAGUAAUCUGUAGCCAGUGAUUAAAAUACACCCUGUGGAACUGCAGCUUAAAAGCGUGAAGGAAACUCUAGUUCAGGUUGGGAAGAAAACAACAGGUGUGCCGAUCAAGGAAACAACUCUUCCAGCAGAUCAAGGAAUCAUUGCAAUUUACCAAGGGAGAGACGUAAUACUCUAAAAAAAAUUUUAACAUCAGUACCCUCCCUAUUCUAGCCUAGUAUUUGUUUUCUAUAAUCAAGCAUAAGUAUUAAUCUGUAUGCCAGUGAUUAAGACGCCUGUGGAACCGCAGGUUGAAAGUGUGAAGGAAAAUCAAAUUCAGAUUGAGAAGAAAAUGGUAGGAAUGCAGGUCGAGGAAACGAUAGUUCCAGCAGAUGUUGAAGAGAUUAAACUUCCAGAGAUUACGUCUAUAAAGCAAGUUCAGACAGAGUGGACUGGUGCAGUAUGACAGGUUGAAAGUGUGAAGGAAAAUCAAGUUCAGAUUGAGAAGAAAAUGGUAGGAAUGCAGGUCGAGGAAACGAUAGUUCCAGCAGAUGUUGAAGAGAUUAAACUUCCAGAGAUUACGUCUAUAAAGCAAGUUCAGACAGAGUGGACUGGUGCAGUAUGCCAAGUGACAACCACCUCAGAGCAUAGUUUGAAGUCCCAUCUUAAUGGAAGGAAACAUAAGGUAAAGUGUGAAGAGUUGAAAACUUGCAAGCAAACGGCCAAGAUCGAAGGAGACCUGCCUGUUUCAACAAAAAAGUCAAAUGAGCUUAAGCAAGAGCAAGUAAACCAUGUAGCUGCACCACAAUCAGAGCACAGUACUAAUGAAGCAGCUGACCCCAAACAGGUUGUCACUUUUUUUAACCCUAGAACUUCCUUGGUCUUUCCUGGAAUAUUAAGUGUUGCUCAUAAUGCAAUUGUUGAGCAAACAAUAGAUGAAGAUACUCCAUCUUAUUGAAAAAUAAUUAUACUAUUUUCUUGUUAGUCCGUUCCAAAAAGAAUGGGGAAGCCCGAUGCACCAAGCAUCAUGUGUUUAUGUAGGGUCCGAGAAGGGCCGCAUCCAAAGAGGGUGUGAUGUAGGCAUACAAGCACCAGUGGUUGAUUCCACAGUUCCAAAAAGAAUUAUGCCCUCUAUAUUUGGAAAUAAUUUCGAUUUGAAUUUCCCAUUUUACCAUCAAAUUAACAUUCGCCAUACAAAUGUUAUUGCAUUGUUUAAGACCACAAUUUCAAAAGUUUUAUAAAUAUUACUUGUGACAUAUUUAAUAUCACAAACUUUAAAAGUCGUACUUUCUUUCUUAAAACUUCGUGCUUAGUCAAACCUCAGUUUCUCUUGUAAACAUUUGAAGCCACUAAGAAGGUGAGAGAAUUGAAGCGUUCUUUUAAAACAUUAGCACCAUCUUUAUUCUAGCCU
rnacentral:lncRNA from 1 species